CCUACCCAUCAGGACCGGGAUAACCGGGGAAACCGUGGCUAAUACCGGAUGAUCCUUCCGGACACAAGUCGGGAAGUUGAAAGGCGCUUUUGGUGCCGUUGAUGGAUGGGCCUGCGGCGCAUUAGCUGGUUGGUGAGGUAACGGCUCACCAAGGCGACGAUGCGUAGCCGACCUGAGAGGGUGAUCGGCCACACUGGGACUGAGACACGGCCCAGACUCCUACGGGAGGCAGCAGUAGGGAAUCAUCCGCAAUGGACGAAAGUCUGACGGUGCAACGCCGCGUGAGUGAAGAAGGGUUUCGGCUCGUAAAACUCUGUUGUUAAGGAAGAAUGUCGGUGAGAGUAACUGCUCACCGAGUGACGGUACUUAACCAGAAAGCCACGGCUAACUACGUGCCAGCAGCCGCGGUAAUACGUAGGUGGCAAGCGUUAUCCGGAAUUAUUGGGCGUAAAGCGCGCGUAGGCGGUUUCUUAAGUCUGAUGUGAAAGCCCCCGGCUCAACCGGGGAGGGUCAUUGGAAACUGGGGAACUUGAGUGCAGAAGAGGAGAGUGGAAUUCCAUGUGUAGCGGUGAAAUGCGCAGAGAUAUGGAGGAACACCAGUGGCGAAGGCGGCUCUCUGGUCUGUAACUGACGCUGAUGUGCGAAAGCGUGGGGAUCAAACAGGAUUAGAUACCCUGGUAGUCCACGCCGUAAACGAUGAGUGCUAAGUGUUAGGGGGUUUCCGCCCCUUAGUGCUGCAGCAAACGCAUUAAGCACUCCGCCUGGGGAGUACGACCGCAAGGUUGAAAACUCAAAGGAAUUGACGGGGACCCGGCACAAGGCGGUGGAGCAUGUGGUUUAAUUCGAAGCAACGCGAAGAACCUUACCAAAUCUUGACAUCCUCUGACCG
rnacentral:rRNA from 1 species